GCCCCUCUUCAGCACUGCACCAAGGCGCUGGGACCGGCGGCCACGCCCACCGCGCCCCGCUGGCCAAUCGCCGCGCCGCUGGCGGCUGCCCCCCCUCCCCCCCUACUCCUUUUCCUCACCCCCCCCUCUCCCUCUUUUUGGCUCCGCCCGCCCUUGGCAGGGCGCGAGCGCGGCCCGCGCCCGCCCACCCGCCUGUUUGUUAUGGUCGGGGCCACGUGCCGCCGGCUCAGGCGGUCACGCGGCCCGGCCUCGCGCCGCCCCCGGCCGUCGCUGCCGGGGUGAGGGACCCGGUGUGUGACAGGGACCCGGUGUGUGACAGGGACCCGGUGUGUGACAGGGACCCGGUGUGUGAUGGUGCCCGGGGGUGUGGCAGGGGCCCGGUGUGACGGGGCUGCCGUUCUUGGGGGGUCCUGCAGCCCUCCUGCCCGAGGGGAAGUGACCUCGACCCUCCUUUGAGGGGAGCAGCUGUUUGGUCCUUAGCGCCCUGACUCCUGAAGGGCCUUGUCCCUGGUUAGCAGGUAAUAGGAUCACAGAAUGUUAGGGGUUGGAGGGGACCUCAAAAGCUCAUCCAGUGCAAUUCCUCUGCCGGAGCAGGAACACCCAGAUGAGGUUACACAGGAAGGUGUCCCGGCGGGUUGGAAUGUCUGCACAGAAGGAGACUCCACAACCCCCCUGGGCAGCCUGAUCCAGGCUCUGCCACCCUCACUGGGAAGACGUUUCUUCUCGUAUUUAAGUGGAACCUCUUAUGUUCCAGUUUGUAUCCAUUACCCCUUGUCUUAUCAUUGGUUGUGGGUCUGUCCAUGGUCAAGUUGCGACUGCCCAUCUGCAGCUGGCUCUGCCCUCCAGAUAGGGAGGUUUUUCUCUCUGGAAGAGAGCUAUUCUUGCCCGGUAGUUUUUUCAUUUUCUUUCCCCCCUUCACUCCAUGUUUUCCUGCAUAACCCACAGCAGUAGCUGCGUAUCCGCCUAGCCUGGUGUUGUUAAGGCACGCUGCUUUAUGUAGGUAACACAGGGGAGCGCCGCGAGGAUCGUGUUCAGCGAUCAGUCUCCUGAGCCUGAAGCUUUCAGCCUAUUUAUAGGUAGGUUGGGCAGCCUUUAGUGUGAAGGGCUUGUGCCGCGUCUGAAUCCGUGGCGAAGCGAGGUAUCUUAAAUGAUGGCGUUUUGUUUUUCGACAGUUCUUUGGAAAUAGGAUUUUAUGGAAAGCUCUGGAGGAAUGGUUGUUAAUAGGCUAUAUGGUUUUUUUGGAGUCAAGGAACGUAAUGCCAUUUUAAUGCAACUUCUCAGAUAGCAAAGCAAACAGUAAGAGGAUCCGCAGUUCUAGAUCAGCGGCUUCCAGCUUGCAGGGACUGGACCCUGGCCGUUUGCAAACAACUUACGCAGGGCCAGUAGGAAGCAAAGAGGAAAGAAAGGACAUAUGUUUUUUGGAAGCUUAUGUUUGUUAUAGAGAUUUCUGCACUGCUAAAGAUGCUGUGGCUGACAAGCUGGAAAAAAAAAAAUUGCAGGCUGCUUUUCUGGAUCACUGAGAUAUUUUUGGCUUAAAAUAAGUGGAGGAGGGAUGGAAAGAUAAACUGUAUCUGUGUUCAUGUUGUACUGUUUCAAAAUUUAAAAUUCAAGAUAUUUUUCAGAAUUACAUAACCAUUCGUAACAUUGUGCUUCUCAAAUAGCCUUAAAGAGUUAAGUAACAGCAGAUGAACGAGAACAGGUCAAGAAGAGAUGGUUUUAUAACUAGUGGUGAGGACUAUACACGGAUAUUUAAAAUUGCUUUGGAGUUGCACUAGAAAGGAGUCUUCUGUUAGUAGUAGUAGGAUUUUAAUACCCUACAAAUAUAGAACAUGAGAAGGAGGACGGAAAGAUAAGGUUCGCAGUUUUAUGGUGGCGUAGUCCUGUAAAUGGAUCGGGGAUGGUUUAUGGUGCUUCAUGUGCUUUCACUUCUGUUCCAUCGUAACUUUUAUCAGUGCGGUCUUUUUCAUCUGAAAUGACGAGUUUCCAGAUACUGACCAAAGUUGAUGAGGAGGGAAUAUGGCCUUAAAAUAACAAGAGGGGUAAUGGGCUCUGAAAGGAAUGAACGCUGCUGUGGUGGUGGAAGGACUGGGGUGGUAAUGGGCUGUUCUGGGAAUGUGCUCUGAAGAGCUGAUGUUUUGUGUCGGUUACAGGAGUCACUUGAAAUGGUGUUACCUGCAGAAAUACAUUGAUUCAACCUGGGCAGUAUACUUGGUUUGUACGGUUAUAUCUGCAUAUCUUUGUAUUUUUUUGAAAAACAAUAAAAAAAAUAACCUUACCUUAAAAUAGGAAAUUAAUGGGGAGCCGUUGGUUUGUUAGAGAUUUGAGAAUAUCGAAAGGUGCACAGUAACACACCGUGCCAGCAUCUCUUAUUUUUGAGUGUACAUGGAAUUGCUGGUGGAAUUGAUGCACCAGGAAAUUGCUUUUUCUAUUUUUGUUGGUGAGAUGCAGUUAAUGUAAAAUGAGCCCUUUGGAUCCCAUAUCCCAUUUCUCUUUAAUAUAACUAAGAUCAUUUAUCUUCUCAAGACAGCUAGAGGAAAAAAUACUUCAUUUUGUAACUUAGUUCACCUUCUCUUCAAUUGCUGUCAGUUCAUGACGAGGCACAGAGUGUGCUGUACACUGUGUUCUGCAGAGCUGUUUUGGUGACGAAUACGAUGUAUAUGAAAAAAAAAGGGCUAUAAAAAUAGGUAUUGUGCCAGUUCUCUCCACUUUUUAUAUAAACAAUACCAAUUUAUAUCUUAAAGAGGUACUCAAAGUUUCAUUUUAGGAUCUUGUAUCUUGCCAAAUUUUAGUGGCGUAAAAGGUUGUUAUUUUACUCUUUGGAAGUACUUAAAAAGCAUCUGAAAAGGAAAUAGUUAAACUAGUGUUUGUAUUGGUUUUGAGAUAGGAAGUAGCGAAACCUUUUAUUUUCUGUUUUAAUAAAAAGGGAAAUUGUGAACUUAUUUUAAAAAAUAUAUGUUUCUGCUACUGGUAGCCUAUUAUAUGGUUAAAAUUAAAAGGACCAGUUUAAUCCAGGCUAGAUUUUACUUUGAAUUGCUAUCAUCAUGUGUUUACUAUGUUUCUUUCAUAUUUAAAUACGAAAACCAUGGAGUCAUGUUUUUUUCCUCUCGUCUGAUUAGCUGUAGUUGAUCGUGCUGUAUUUGCACAGUGUUUUUCCAUAAACAUCUUGCUUCUGGAGUUAUUGUAGUAUGAGAAUAUGAGCUUGAAAAUAUGAUAUAAAGGGUAAAAGUGCUUGCAAACAUGAAUGCUGAAAUACAAAGUUAAAAAAUAAUCCUUCCCCGGCAGUUCUUUCAAGUCAGUUUGAUAAUUUUACAUCCUGACUCAUGGCUUUCUAAUUGACUGGAGAUGAAAUUAACGGGGCUGCAACUGUUUGUCACAAAUUUAAGCAUAAACAGUAUUUUUCUUUUGGCUUUGGAUUUCAUGAAAACGCAGUAUAAAAUCCACCGUCCUUUGUUGGUCUGUCAGGAUGCUGCACCUCAGCCAGGAGAUGCAGCAUUGUUGUCUACAGUAGUGAGGCUGGAAAUGGGAAUUAUUUCUUCUGAGUUUUACCCCUACUGAUGCCAGAGGUUUCAUCCUUCCAUAGAUUUCUGAUCUGGGCAUUGAAUGCUUGCAGAGGCUACUAAUUAAUGGACUUUCAUUAACUACCUUGAGCUCUAGGAAGGAACGUGUUAAAUGUCCCCAGUAUUGUGCUUCUCUACAGACGUAAGUUUGGAGCUCUCUGAAAAACUGACAUCCAUAUAGCAAAAACAUUAAUAAUGGUAGUAAAGCAGUCAGCCUGAAAAUGUUUUGUAAGUUUCUUAUAUAAAGUGAUGUCUUUGGCAGGACAAUAAAAAAGUUAUAAUCGUAACAAUAUGCUUAUAUUGAAUAGUUUUAAUUGUUGUGGCUAUUGAAGCUCUGCUGUUGACAGUGGUUUAUUUUAUGAACGCUGUAGUUGAAACGUGUAAAAUUUUGUUGGUGAGGGGAGAUAGUUCUACUCUUGUUGGGCUUCACAGUAAGCUGAAUUUCAGUAUACCAUUACUUGAGAACUAUCUCUUUUUCAUAAUUCUUAUUAUGUUAGGAAGCAUUAGUGAAGCACUCGUGGUAAGGGUGUUGGUUUGUUUUGUUUUGUUUUUUUCCUCUGGCUUGUAUUAUACUAAGGUAUAAACAGAAGAAAUUGAGAAACAAAUGGUUUAAAGGGCAUUUCUAACACCAUUUAUAAACCAUAAUUUCACCAACACUCCUCUGAAUGUGUCUUGUUUAGGGAGUAGGUCCUGUUGAAGAACAAAUUCUGCAAUCACGUAGUAAGUAAACAGUCUGUAAAUACAAAGCUACUAAAGCAGACGUGAUACUUUUUCUGCCCUAUAUUGCAAAUUCUUACUCUCCUGCAACUGAAACCAUGAUGUGCUUAUAUGUAAAGAAUGCUGCACAGUAGUUUCAUCUUAACAGAAAACUUGUGAAGUCAAUGUGCUAGUAAUAUCGAGAUUUUUCCCCUUUAUGUCAUCUCCUAGAUUGUCAGAAGCAGCAGUUAGUUGCCUGGGUGAGCAGGAUGCUGAGAGGCAAACCUGGUAAGCAUUGUGCUCUACUAUUACAAAAUGUAGGUAUUUCUGCAUCCCCCCACCCAUACUGAUUAGCCUGUAUGCUACACCAAAAUCUAUCAGUUUGAGUGCAGCUACUGUGCUGCUGAGGUUGAAAUAAUCCUUAUUUUUUCCAUAGUGCUUAUUAGCUUGGGUUGAACAUUGUCUGCAGGACUUCUCGCAGUACAGGCAGAGGGAGUUUGCAUGUGUCUGGAAAAUAUACCUUGAAUGUGGGCUAAUUCUUUUUCAUCUAUGUUGUCGCUGUGUACAAUUUUGGUGGUGUAUACAUUUUCGGAAAAGAAGGAUGAUUUUUGGACUCAUUUCGUAACAUUGUGUAUGGAAUACCCAGAAAAUGUGCUAAUUUGAAUAGUACCUAUAUUAUGUUGAAGUUACUGAAUUUUAGUGUAACUGUAGGAGCUUGUGCAGACACCGUUGCAAAAUGAAGGCUUUAUAAACUGCAAUGUGCAGAGGACAUAAGGUAGAAUUGAACUGAUGAUCAUGUUUGGGGGGGGGUGGGGAGUGGAGGCGGAGAACAAACAAGACACCAAAAUAAACCAAUCCAAAAGCAAACAAAAAAAACAAACCGAAACAAACCCAUAAGCAAACAACAAAACCCAAACAAACAAACCAACACCUCCCCCCCAAAAAAAAAAACACCCCAAAACCAAACAACAACAAAACAAAAAAACUAAAAAACCAACGUUGUCUGUUUUAUCUUGGUUGCUAUUUACGUCAGCAAAGGAAGGUGUUGCCCAGUGGCCAGAUCCCGGGUGGUUGGUGGUAGUUCGUCCAGCAGAGAUGUGUUUGAAGCUGAACAUAUCUUCGUGUUUUAUUAUUGAACUCGGGAGAUUUCUUGCUUCCCAGUUAGGUAAGCAGCUGUGAAUCUCCUGGGAGGGAGAAGAUGCGUCUAUCCAUGGUGUUUACUUUUCACAGGAGGAGAAAAAGACAUUUCUGACUGUCAUCUGGAUUUGUUUUGUAAACUGAAAGCACUGUUAAUGCUUUUAACGAGGUUUAGUUGCUGCAUCAUUGUGACUUCUGCAGUUUGGCAUGUUUACUCUCUCCCCCCCCCCAUUUUUUUUUUAAACAUAAUUUUAAAUGUUACAUUGGCUGUAUGGACUGUAGCUCCUGGGAGAUUUUUAUAUUCUGAUUUCUGUGACUUUAUGGCAGCGCCCCAGGGUCCUGGAGCAAUCAGUGUUAAGUUUAUCCUAUUGACAGAGAACACGAUUCCAUAUCUGUGAGAAGCAAUAUUUUUUUUUAUACUGAGAUACACAUGUAGAGAAGACACACGUAAGAAAAGCCUGAAUGAAGCAGCAGUGUUAAAAUCCUGCCGUGUUAAAUCCUGCUCGCCUUGUGAGGGGGCUGCGGGUGAUAUUUAAUUGCGGGAGGUGUUUAGGCUCGUUUUGGGGAGUCUGUUGGGGGUGGCAGAGGGAUGUACGAGGGCCGUUGCCCUCUGCUGGAGGCAUCCAGCAGUGCAGGGCUGUGUGUGGGCCCCAGCAGCCACAAACUGCUCUCUGGGCUCUCGGAUGGCGUUCUCUUGCUCGCUUGUCACUUCAGCUUGCUUGUCACCUCAAGUUCAGAGAUGCCAUCUUUCUUCUAGAGCUGGAACAGUAGUCCCUGUUCAGACCAGAUAAUCUGAUUCCUCCUCUUCCUUUCGUGUCUGUGUCCGUGGGUAUCUGUUCAGAGAAGCCUGUAUUUGUAUAAAUAGAAAGCUCCAAGGAUGGAUCCAGCAUUACGGGACCUGCUGCUUCUCUGAAGAUUAUUGUCCUGAAGCCACAACUUAUUCUGGUAGCUUUGACGGAGAAUUGCGCACCCUUCCCGCAAAAGAGGAAAUAAGACAGGUUUAAUAUUCGGAUUGUUAGCCCUGUCAGUUUUCAGUAACCCAGAGAUAUUAGUAUAACAAUAUUGACCUAGAAAUUAGUAUUUUGAAUGUAAAAUAUACUUAAAGUUGAUUAGUGUUCAGACAAUAUGGAACAGAAAUGAGGUCUGUCCAACUUAAUAUAUGUAGCUACCCUAACGUCAAAUGUAACUGCUGUUCUGACAAUUCUGUGUAGCACAACUAUUUCAGUGUUUGCAUGGGGUUUUUUUUUGUUUGCUUUUUGUUUGUUCGUUUGGUUUUUGCCUUUUUUGUGGCGUAGGAAAAUGCUUUUUUUUCCUAGUCUUCAAGAAACUCCAGUUUUCAUAUAGAACUGGUGUUGAGGUUAAAGGGAGUUAACAAGGGCAGAGUUCAGCUAUAUUGCUACAGUGGGAGUUCAGUGGGAACCUCUGUUCUCCCAGCCCUUCUUAAGUAAUUGCUGACAUUCAUGAGGAAGUCCUUGCUGAAUAUUGGAGAGGAAAAAGUCAGAAAUGGUUACUAGGGAGAAGUAACCAUAAAUUGUGAGUUGAAAUGUUAUUUACUGAGUAAAGCUGAAUUACUCAAAAGCAGUAUUACUUCGAUAAUGAAUGAAUGGCAUCUAUAAGCAGCAAUAAUGUGUACUGGAGACCAAAACUGCAUAAUAUAGCAGAGGGGAGAAGUGCUGGCAGAGAUGUUUGAUAGGUUAGCCCAGGCCCUUAACAUUGUGAUGGGAGAGAAGCAUCUUCUAGAGCGCUAUUUCUAUUACAGAAGCAUGGGAAAGAGAUUUUCAUGGGGCAGCCUGGAUGGCUGUAUGAUUCAGUAUGAUUCCCCCAACAGUUUUCAGGCUACAAAUUGAAACCCUCAUUGCUCCCCUCAAAAAGCUAUUCCACUGUCUGAUUUCAUUGAUUUUUAGAAAUCUAGUUCUCGGUUCCAGCGCAAAUGUAGUUCACAGCCAGCUUACAUUCAUUUGUUGUACAAAUAGUGUAAAUACCUCUUUUCUCUCCCUUGUGUUUUGCAUGUGCUGCAUCUGCAGAUAGCAGUUAUAUUAAUUUAUAGCUCUCAUUUUGUUCUAAACCAGCUGUUCUUAACUUUUUCAUGCCCUUCCCCCUUGUCAGGAUGUAUUGCAUGCCCCUGUAGUUUUAAAGACCACUGGUUUUAAAAACAAGCCCUUUUAGGCUUUUCCUGUAAAGUAAACUUCGUGUUCCUGUGGGUAAAGUUAUUUUUGAGAAGGUUCAUGUAAGAUUAUUCUCUUAGUUGCUGGAUCAGGUGAAUAUUAUAAAUACAAUUUGUCAUGUCUAGUGUUAUCCUGGUCAUAGUCUUUUUAAGGUACAUCUGGUUGUAUUUAUUUCUUUUGUUGAUGUUUUCUUUUGAAAUUAUGAAGUCCUGCUAUUAUCGUGAACAGGUUUGAUUCUGUUCCAGAUGCUAUGGGCUGAUAAUAGCAGUAAUGCGUCUUCUGGCAGUUCCUUACAAGAUCAGUUAACAUGAAAAAAUUGCGUUUACCCAAACUAUAUGAGGUCUACUUUGCAAGUUUGUGAUGUGCUUAAAUUCCUAAUAGGCUGUAAUUUCUUUCUUUCUUUCUUUCUUUCUUGCUCUGCUACUUUAGAAGAGUCUUCCUGGCUAGAUUAAAACUGGAAGUCAGCUCUGAGACUUUCAAACGCAGUCUGUUUGGUAGCUAUGUCAACAUUAAUUGUUGUAUACCUCUAAUGUUACCAUAUAAACUGCCAUCUCUUCUGGCCUGCAAAGUUUAUCCUGGGUAAACUCUGCGCGGCCUAUUUAAUUUUCAUAUUUGAUCUGUAAAUCUUUGCAAAGACCUUAACAAAUGUUGUUAACUGUUCAUUGUUCUUCUUGGUAAUGUGGAUAGAAAUGGAUAAAGUUUUUGAAAAAGGUUGUGAUUCUUUCUCACUUCAGGAUUUUUUCCCUUUGUCCCAUUUUGAAAUGUUCCUUUACGGUUGUGCCUGCUAUCAUUAUCCAUACUAGAUCUUGUCUCCAGUCUGCUGCUGCCUUGCAGGAAACAAAAACACGGGUGAUUAAGUCCAUCCUCUUCCUGCAGGUGGCAUUCAUGAUUCCUCUGUGUUCUUCAGUUGUUUUUCUGCCUUUCCUGCAGCAAAAUGGGACUUUGCCUGUUUGCUGAAUGCCAGGUCAUCUUUGUGGUUUGGUGGUUCUGGUAAUGGAAAGAAAGAAUCUACAAGAGAGUAGAAAUUCCGGUAAGGAAGGGCAGCAGUGGGUAGGUCCUCUUCAUCCACUGUGUCCUUGCUGUGAGUGGAGGGCCCUGCAGGGUGUCCUGUUCUGUUAGCAUUACAAAGUUUAGCCACAGUCAGGCUCUAAGAUCAGCUUUCAGUCAUAAUGCGUGUUUUCUGCUCUUCUUGCCCCUCGCUGCAUGAAGAUGAAUGCAAAGUCUGUCUUAUGCUCUCGGUAGUGUUGAAGGUAAUCCCCCUGCAGAUUGCAGCUGUAUCAUUUGUAAUUUAGCGAUUUCUUGAGUGCGGAAUGUGAUAGUCAUACCUGGGUUUUUUCCUGUAGAUCAGGGCCUGUAACUAAGUGACAUCACAUCCUGUGGUUGUCAGGUAUAUGCACUGUGUGUACUAGAUGGAUGGAGGUUCUCAGGAUAGUUCCUUUUAAGACUGGCUUGGUAGCAGCAUCUCUUGCAUAAUGGAUUUUUGAGUCUGAUUUUCCCUGCUAGCAUUAUUUUAAUUUAAAACUGAUGAAGAUCAUAAAGAUGUAUGUAUUCAGCUAAUCGGUACUCAGCUGACCCCUCUACUUCUACGUUCUGUGCCUCUCAAGGGUUCUGUUAAAUAAUAUUUAUAUUAAUAGUACCAUCUACUGCUGAAUUCCUCCUGUGGCUUAUAAAAGCAUAUUUAACUAUUACAUUAACCAGCUUCACUGCUAGCUCAGGAUUCAGGUUGUUUGUAUUUGCAGUUCUGCUGCUAAGUUCUUUGUCUCCUGUGUGUGUUGUAAAUAACAGAGGUUGGGGCUGCGGAGGAGGAGUUUUCUGACAGCCUGGGCAGCUGGGGCUGUGAUUCCCCAGCCCUGCAUGGGAAGGGGCUCUCUGGAACUGUCUUGAGAUAAAUCCACAGUCCCUUUGCCUUCCUGGGUUGUUUAAUAUAUGUGGAUCAGCAUCAUGAGCAAAGAGGGCACAGCAGAGGAGGCAGCAGGCGAGUGGAGUGCUAUCUGUAGGCAGCGGUUCCUGACAGAGGAUGAAAGCACAGAAGCGCAGAAACUUGCACUAGAUAAGAUUAAAAAUCAGAGUCUGUGAAGAAGAGGCAGAUAACUAACAAUAAGGAGACCAGAACAGGUGAGGUUCUCUUUUAGGAAAGCUUAAUAUAAAAAGUUAAACAAAAACGUUUUCUUUGUACACAAAAAUGAAAUUGGAACAUUUCAUAGAACUUUUCUAUAUUUCAUCUGGUUACUAGCAAUUCAUAUUGCUAGUACAUAUUGUUAUGUACUUUUGCUAACUUAAGACGGAUAUCCAUUAGAUUUUGUAAGCUGUUUAUUAUAUUACCUACUUGUGGGGUGGGGAAGAGAACAGGAUAUUCCCAUAGGAAGGUGCCGUCCCAUACUCAGCUUUGUGACAAGAUGGCAAUAUCUGAAGCUCUCACAUUUGCUUGCCCAUCUUCCUGUAUGUUGACUUUCUGCUUGGAUCUUCCAUAAUCUUAACAAUUGGCCAUGUUCAUUUGCUUACUCCCCUUUCUUACAAGUGCUGGUGUCCGACUUGAUUUUGUAAAUACAGAAAGUUAGUGCGUUUUCUUGAAAGAACCAUUGAAUUGGUGGAGGGGUUAACUUCAGAGAUGUCAAGUGCCUGAAGCUCUGGUGCAGAAGUUAAUUCAGGAAUAAAGCAGGAAUUUAAAUAUAGAUUUCACUCUAAGAUAUGUCUUUGUGCUACCAUUAGAUUAAUGUGUUGGCCCGGGAUAAUGCUGGCUUUUGAAGAGCUUAUCUUCAAAUGUUUAAAAAUCUGUUCUUGUGUUUUACCAUAAACUGAUGUGGUCCAGCAGUCAUCUGGCUCUCAUACUGGAAAUAUUUUCUUUUCCUUUUACGUGACUCAUUACCAUGCAUUUGUAACUAUGGUUAUUUUCUCUUAAAGGAUUUGUUCUGCCCUUUAAUUAUAUGAUAUGGGACAUUCAGGUUUGACGUAUUACCAAUGUAGGAAUUCCUCCAGGACUGCUAGCUUCUAAACAGAUCUUUUUAGGCCAUGUGCCCAUAAAAUUACCAAUCCUCUUACUACUUCUGCAUUAGUCUAAAUUAGGAUUUCAGUGAGGUUACUUUGCCCUACUGCAUGUGUGGAUCUUAAAAUGUACUUCAGGUGUCAAAGUGUUGCUUACAAUCUAUUUGGUGUUGGUAGCAGUGGUGUGUACUUAGACUGAUGUAAAUGACGAGUGAACUACCAUAGCAGAUGUUAUUACUGAUAAAUCAGACUCCACAGAGAUUAAAAAAAAACAAUGAAGAAUUGUUGCCUGCACAUACUUGUUUUCACUAAGGUAUUUGUUUAAUAGCUAGUGAUAAUUUCCGUUUCUUCUUGCGUUACUGUGUUCUUCUGUUUGCUGUAAGACUUUUCUUGUUACAAUCAGAAAAUGAGAAUACCUGGUUUUGUUUAGGAGAAGAUGUAACUGAUACUUGCUGAAGGUUUGCAUUGCAAUUUUUGUCCAUUGUUUUAUUGCUGAAAAGAGGUCAUUUUGUUUUUCAAAACCGCCUCAGUUUUAUUCAUUAUUUAUUUAGUAUUUGAUAAUUAUUAUUUCUUACCUUGAGUUCUUGGUCUAAGAUGCUGCAGAAUUACUGGUAACCUCUAGUAAAGCUAUUGAAAUGGUGUCCUAGCUUUCUUAGUCUUGCCACUUGGUAUAGGAAGCCUGGUGUCUUCUAAUUGCUAAAUAAUCUGUACUUCACAAAAAUAAAACUCUAUCUUAAGAACAGUUUUUUUUUUUACUUCCAUUAUUAGAGUAAGAAGUAAGAUUCUAACCUUCAGAGCAUCCAGCGUCUUAAGACUUUGAAUUUCUAGCCUAACAUUUUGAAGGGCCAUUUCAUACUAACUUUUUUCUUUUUUAAUGGUAAUUGCAAGUUUUGCCUUAUGCAGAUCUCUUAGCUCCUGUUUAUUGACUGAAUGCUCAUAUGACCAGGAAUUAUAUUGCUUACUACCCCUUCAGUCAGGUAAGCAAACAAAACUUCUAGUGCAUGUUCCAUUCUUCCGAUCAUCCUGAACUGUGCCUACUCUGCAUACCCAGCUCAGAUCUGAGCUGGAUUUGCACCUUAGCUUGCCUGCUGCCCACACUGCUCAAACAGCAUGGGAUACAGUGUCCCUUAGCAUCUCUUAAUAUCCUCCAGAACAUUUGAAGUCUGUGGUGAGUUAGCUUGCUGUGCUGGGCUUUGAUGUGUAGUGCAGUUGGAAUUGUUCAUCAAAGCAGAAACAUGGUUUAAGAAACUAUUCUUAAUCAUCUUGCUGUCGUUAGCUGCGGCUCUGCAGCUGAGACUGCAUGAAAUGACUGCUUGAGUCGUCCUCCAUUUCCUGCCUCAGAAACUUUGUGGUCCUGCCUUUCGUUUUGGAACUGGUGCUCUUGUGUCAUUUCCCAGCUGAGACCAGUGUGGAGGCUGCAGGUGCUUCUUCUUUUCACUUCGUUCAGCUGAUUGCUGCAGUUGAACAGUUUAACAUAAACCACUGAUGGAACAGAAUAACAAAGCAGGAGCUCGUGCAGGCAGGCAUCCGUCGUUGCUGGGAGGCAGCAGGAACAAGCAGCCACUUUCUCUCCAUUUAUACUGGUGUUCCUCUUCUGCUCUUUUCCUACUCGUGGUCUAGAGUGAAUCCUUUGUCUGCUGUCACUGAUCUUGACUGAGGAAUUGUAAUUCUUGGUCUAAGACCACUGCUGGCGGGCAGGUGGUGUCCUUUUUUCUUUUUAAACUUACAGUGAACUUUUACACUUACAGUGGACCAGGUCUGUGCAUACUGGCAAGCACUGGUCUCUCAGUUAAAAGGUAGAGGUCAGCAUCUGUUGCCAUUUCUGCUACCUGAGAGCACAUUCUUUUCAUGCUCGAGUGUGAAUUUGUCUUUCUUAAACAGGGCACACACAGUAAUUAAAUGAAGUUUCCAGGUAGACUGGGGUUGCAGUUGUUUUAUUUCACAGGUAUGUCACUCUGAUGACCCAGGGUCACUUUAUAAUGGGCUACGCUUUUCCUUUCUUUAUAGUUCAGAAAUUAAGGAACUGUUUACCUGGCGGGAAUAUGCAUUAUACCCAGGUAUUGGACUGAAUCUUCUGCUGUUGAAAUUCUCUCUUACUCGAGUCUGUGAGGUUAUCCAGUUCUUUUUAGAGACUAUCCUGUUUCUCCUUUCUUAACUCAGUUUUAUCAACAAAACUUAGGA